AGUGAACGCUGGCGGCAGGCCUAAUACAUGCAAGUCGAACGGCAGCACAGUGGAGCUUGCUCCAUGGGUGGCGAGUGGCGGACGGGUGAGGAAUACAUGGGAAUCUGCCCAGUCGUGGGGGAUAACGUAGGGAAACUUACGCUAAUUCCGCAUGCGCCCUUCGGGGGAAAGCCGGGGACCUUCGGGCCUGGCGCGAUUGGAUGAGCCCAUGUUCGAUUAGCUAGUUGGCGGGGUAAAGGCCCACCAAGGCGACGAUCGAUAGCUGGUCUGAGAGGAUGAUCAGCCACACUGGGACUGAGACACGGCCCAGACUCCUACGGGAGGCAGCAGUAGGGAAUAUUGGACAAUGGGCGCAAGCCUGAUCCAGCCAUGCCGCGUGAGUGAAGAAGGCCCUCGGGUUGUAAAGCUCUUUUGUCCGGGAAGAAAAGCAUCGGGCUAAUACCUCGGUGUUCUGACGGUACCGGAAGAAUAAGCACCGGCUAACUUCGUG
rnacentral:rRNA from 1 species